rnacentral:rRNA from 1 species
AGCGAACGCUGGCGGCGUGCCUAACACAUGCAAGUCGAACGUGAAAAGGGAAACCUGAGUACAGUGGCGUACGGGUGAGUAACGCGUAGGUAAUCUACCCCAGAAUCUGGAAUAACCUGCCGAAAGGCGGGCUAAUACUAGAUAGAGCGAGGGAACUCGUAAGAGAGUUUUUCGGGAAAGGGAGCCCGCAAGGGCCUUCGUUCUGGGAUGAGCCUGCGUCUCAUUAGCUAGUUGGUAAGGUAACGGCUUACCAAGGCGAUGAUGAGUAGCUGGUCUGAGAGGAUGAUCAGCCACACUGGAACUGAAACACGGUCCAGACUCCUACGGGAGGCAGCAGUGGGGAAUCUUGCGCAAUGGACGAAAGUCUGACGCAGCCACGCCGCGUGAGUGAAGAAGGCCUUCGGGUUGUAAAGCUCUGUCGGAUGGGACGAACAUCUUCAUAGUGAAUAGCUAUGAGGACUGACGGUACCAUCAAAGGAAGCACCGGCUAACUCCGUG